rnacentral:misc_RNA from 1 species
GAUGAAGAACGUAGCGAAAUGCGAUAAGUAAUGCGAAUUGCAGAAUUUCCGUGAGUCAUCGAAUCUUUGAACGCACAUUGCGCCCACUGGUAUUCCGGUGGGCAUGCCUGUUCGAGCGUCAUUAUCCUCCCUCAAACCCCGGGUUUGGUGUUGGACCCAAGUUGUGUGAACAACUGGUCUCAAAGACAAUGACGGCGUCCGUGGGACCCUCGGUGCAACGAGCUUUUAGGAGCACGCAUCGAGUUGCAAGGACCUUCCGGGCCGGUCUCCUUUACCAUUUUACAAGGUUGACCUCGGAUCAGGUAGGGAUACCCGCUGAACUUAAGCAUAUCAAUAAGCGGAGGA